AGCUUUGCACAGUGGCAGUAUCGUAGUCAAUGAGGUUUGUCUAAGGUGCGAUUAUUGCCCAAUACCCCGCUGUGACAACUUGCCAUAUGUAGGCACUGGCAAUUUUUGAUGGUCUCUAUGGAGA
ensembl:snRNA U4 U4 spliceosomal RNA